CUCUACCCUGCGUUUCUCUAAAAUCAGCAUGAGACGGUCUGACCUGGGCUGGGUUGUGUAGCCCAACUGUACCUGCCACAUGCCCAUCCUCAGCGUGGCUCUCCACUGAGCACUAUGAAUAGAAACUUAGCGAACGAGAAAUAAGCAGUCGGCUUUGGCACAUGCCACACUCCUAGCAGCACUUUGGGGUCGCCAUGGAAACAGGGACGAGUACAGCUAACGCCGCCCCGACAUCUUCCUAUCAUGCCCACUCAAGAUCAUUAACAUUGCAUGUUUAUUUCCUAACCUCCAUGACAGAUUUCUGUGUUGGUUCACCUCUGAUCACGCUGUCCAGGCCUGAGUGCCCAUCUGGAGGCCAGACGGUCCAUCAACCCAGUCUCCUAUAUAAACCCGGUCAAGAGGAGAAUUGACCUAUCGUGCCCCAUGGGUAGGACACACCAAUGUUUAAAACAGCUCACUCUCCAUCCUGUUCUCACAGCACCCAGCAGAGGAGACGGGAGCAGCUGUUGGAGCGGGUGGAGUGUGCACACGUCUCACUCUCGAGAUGACCAGAUGAAUCAUCAGCAUGCUCCAGACUGGUGAGGAAUUACUUUGUCAAUCCCUGUGUGACGAAGCUUUCCCAGCAGGCUCAAUGCUAAGGCCGAUAGAUUUUGGAAAGUCUUGAGAGGGGGAGCGAGUGUCACGUGUUCCAUCCAGGCAUCUCCAAAUUAAUUAUUCACGUUAAUGGGAUGCGUCGGGCGUCUUUUGUUUGCUGAACAUCAAAGCAGGGUCGCUGGGUUUGGUUAUUGCUAAAAAUUAUGACAAAUAGGCAGGAUAGAAAGUGAAUAAACGGUCCUGUUUUACAUGGACACAUUAUUGUGCACAAUUCAAUGCCAGUUCAAUCUCUUCUUCAUGAAUAAAAAGACAUGUGCAUC